CAAGUCGAGCGGAUGAAGGAGCUUGCUCCUGGAUUCAACGGCGGACGGGUGAGUAAUGCCUAGGAAUCUGCCUGGUAGUGGGGGACAACGUUUCGAAAGGAACGCUAAUACCGCAUACGUCCUACGGGAGAAAGCGGGGGACCUUCGGGCCUUGCGCUAUCGGAUGAGCCUAUGUCGGAUUAGCUAGUUGGUGAGGUAAUGGCUCACCAAGGCGACGAUCCGUAACUGGUCUGAGAGGAUGAUCAGUCACACUGGAACUGAGACACGGUCCAGACUCCUACGGGAGGCAGCAGUGGGGAAUAUUGGACAAUGGGCGAAAGCCUGAUCCAGCCAUGCCGCGUGUGUGAAGAAGGUCUUCGGAUUGUAAAGCACUUUAAGUUGGGAGGAAGGGUUGUAAAUUAAUACUCUGCGAUUUUGACGUUACCGACAGAAUAAGCACCGGCUAACUCUGUGCCAGCAGCCGCGGUAAUACAUAGGGUGCAAGCGUUAAUCGGAAUUACUGGGCGUAAAGCGCGCGCAGGUGGUUCUGUAAGUUGGAUGUGAAAUCCCCGGGCUCAACCUGGGAACUGCAUCCAAAACUGGCGAGCUAGAGUAUGGUAGAGGGUGGUGGAAUUUCCUGUGUAGCGGUGAAAUGCGUAGAUAUAUGAAGGAACACCAAUGGCGAAGGCGACCACCUGGACUGAUACUGACACUGAGGUGCGA
rnacentral:rRNA from 1 species